rfam:Myotis lucifugus cont2.36818, whole genome shotgun sequence.
AGUGGUUCUCGGGUGAUGCACCCUGGAAUCAGGCUCCCUCCUCUCUGGUUCUAGGUGCGUCACCUGAGAACAGCA